AAUCAACGCUGGCGGCGCGCUUAACACAUGCAAGUCGAACGAGAAAGGGGAGCAAUCCCUGAGUACAGUGGCGUACGGGUGAGUAACACGUGGAUGAUCUAUCUCUUUGUGGGGAAUAACCCUGGGAAACCGGGGAUAAUACCGCAUAAGCUCGAGAGAGGAAAGCAGCAAUGCGCUGAGAGAGGAGUCCGCGGCCGAUUAGCUAGUUGGUAGGGUAAAAGCCUACCAAGGCAUAGAUCGGUAGCCGGCCUGAGAGGGCACACGGCCACACUGGCACUGAAACACGGGCCAGACUCCUACGGGAGGCAGCAGUGGGGAAUCUUGCACGAUGGGGGCAACCCUGAUGCAGCGACGCCGCGUGAGCGAUGAAG
rnacentral:rRNA from 1 species